AAGCAACUCUCUCAUUUGUGUCGGAUGCCCUGGAGAUGUUUUUCAAAUGCCAGCUGGAAGGCCUAUUUAUCCGGAUUAAUUCAUUCGUUUAUUCCUGUCUUGUCGAGAAAACACAGCGGCCAGAUUAGAUAAGAUUCUUUUUUCUACGUUAGCACCGAUUUGAUUAGUCGCGUUUGUCUGUUCGCCUCCCACGCGCAACAAUUAUUUCCUCCUAUAAACAUGAUCCUCGUAAACCGGUAACAUCAACAUUAGAAUUAGCACAACGAAAACCUCCGCGUUAGAAUGGCCAAGAACAGCAAGUUAAGAUUCAUGACUGUUAUACAAGAAGUCUGACUGGCGCCGACGUUUGAAAAACUUUGGGCUUGGCAUCAUCUUUCUCUCCUGCGAACGAAACAAAACGUCAAAAAAUCGAAAUUCAUUAACCCAUUCUUGAAAGAGGCGGUGGCGUCCGAGCUGGCAGCGGGUGGGCAUUCGGGGGCCGGGGUCGGUCGAGGCGCCUCUUCGACCGCCUUGGCGUCCUUGCUCGAGUAGUCGUCGUAGCCCGAGUCGGACGAGCUGUCCACGUCCUUGCCGAGCACCGUCUUGGCCACGGCCGGCACCACCGGCGACUCUGGCCGCGACGGGAACUUGAAGGCCGCGCGGCCGCGGCACGGCUUGAGGUACUGCGGGUCGACGACCACCUCGUUGCAGCGGCCGCGGAACACGAAGCCGCAGCACACCUCCUCGCGCGUCCAGUACGACGGGUCCAGCAGCGGGCUCGGCUCCUUGGACACGCCGCCGCCCCCGGACAGGGGCGACGACGGCGAUGAGUCUUGCAGGUCCAUGUCAUCAUCGUCCAUGUCACUGCCGGCAGACUCUUCGCCCUGGUCGCUUGUCGGACUCGUCUCUCGAGUGACGUUCUCCUGGAAAACAAACAAAAUAAUUAGAUCGUUGCUUUUUUGCAUUUAAAAGUUUUAAUUAGGAUUUAAGAUUAAUGGGAGGCGAUACUGGAAUUAUCAGGAGAAAGGCAAUUUCAUUGCGUUUCCGUUUAAAAAUUUGAAUGAAAGAUGAAUGUUUUUAAUUUAAUAAAAAGAAAAGCCCUUUCCUUACAGAGGGAAUUGUUUUUGAGCCGACAGUAGUUUAAAAAAAAACUAUUUCUUUGACGAGGACUAGUUUCACUCAAUAAUUUGAAGAUGGUAAAGCAAAAUUGAAUGCUUGUUGAUUGUUAUAACUUUUUAUUAAUAGAUAAAAAAUUAAAUUUAUUGAAACGUUUGAAGAUAAUGAAAAGCAAAGUUGUGCAUAAUAACUGUAUAACAUUACAUUUUUAGUGUUGAAAUAUGGAAAUCUCUUAUUAACUCUGUCAAAGGUUUAAUUGACUUUUAAUUCAAAUCAUGCUGAUAUUAAAAUGCACAUCAUUAAACUUUUUUUCUUACAUUUACCAAAAAAAAAAUUAAAUAAUUAAUUAAAAAGGGGCAGAUCUAAUUACAAUAAAAUGAAAACAAUACUAAUUUUUGCUCUGGCAAUUAAAUAAAUUUGAAAGUUUUAAAUAAUUUCAAUUCAUUGAAGCUAAACUUGAGCUAGAAAAUUAUGUUAUUGUUUUCUAAUUCUUCAUAGAACAUGCACUUUUUAUUAUUUCGCAAUACUACUGUUUGUAAAAUAGUCGGAGACUUGCUUGAAAAAUAUACUAACAACCAACAUACCAAACAUGUGAAAAUUCAAAAAAAGACUUCUGUGAAAACCUCUUGUUCAGUUUACAUUAAUAAUUACUUCAAUUUCUUUACUUUAUAAUGA